AGCCGGGCGGUGGUGGUGGGAAGCAGCGGCUAAAAAGGGGCGAUUUCAGUCUCUGGAUGAAUUCUAUCCGCCGGCGGAGGACGCGAAAGGAGGCAGCGGCGGCGGGCAACAAUACGGGCGGGCGCGGAGCCCGAGCGGGGCGGGCGGCGCUGUGCCCGCGGUGGCUGCGCGGGGCUCAGCGGCGGGCGGGCGGCCCGCGGCGGGGCCCGCCGUGCCCUGCUGGCGGCGCGGGGCGGCGGGCGGCGGCGGCGGGCGGCGGGGCCGGGCUCGGGGCGGCCGCGCUCGGUGACAUUUUAAGCGGCUCUGAGGGGCCCGGCCGCCGCCACCCGCCUCUUGCCGGGGAGCGGGCCACGCCCCCCCGGCGCCAGGGGGCGGGGCUUCGCGCCGGCUCUUUAACCCCUUGGAGGUGAACGGGGGUGUGUGUGAUUGGGCGCUUCCACGGGGCGGAGAGAGGGGUGAGCAAAAAAAUUCAGACAUAAAUAGAAAAAUGUAUCUUUGCGCUGGUGAGGCGGACCCACACAGAAAGAUUAGUAUAGAAUAAAAGUCUGCUUCUCCCCUUUUCUAACUUUUAUCCGGCUCGCUUUCGCCACUUUUCUCGACGCCUUUUCGCAGCGCUCCCCCCGUGCUGAGGCGCGCGGUGGCGGUGGUAGGUCCGCUGGCUGGCCGUCCGCCAAGGGGCCGCCGCCGCGGAGCACGCGCGGGGGGCGGGGGGAGCGGAGCGCAGUUGCCAGAGCUGCUGCCUUUGUCUGAGGGAGCAGCGAGCGCCGCGAUUGGCAGAGGCCUGCGGGCGGCUCAGCCAAUCGGCGCGCGGCGGGGCCGGCCGGCUCGAUGGCGAUUGGCCGCGAGCGCCGGUUACUAAGCGGGACAAAGGAAGGGGAGCGCUGGGGCGAGUGGGGUUCGGGGGCGCGGGGUGACCGGCCCCGCGUCCCGGCUCCGCGUCCCGGCCCCGCUGCUCCCCGACACCGCCGGCUCCAGCGCUGGCUCCGGGAAAACUCCUCCUUCCCACAGCGCUGAGGGGUUGCCCCCGCCCCGAGCCGGUGCGCCGCAGCACCGGGGCUACCUGGCACCCUCCAGCCCGGGCCGGCCGCCGUGUGGGGAUGGGUUUGGGAUAAGGCUGAGCUGCAAACACACCCGAAAUGGAACCUCAGCCUGCCUGGCAGCCACAUCCCGAUGGGCAGCCACAGCCCGCAGCCCGCAGGCACCGGCGGGAGGCAGGAGUGCAGCCAGCUCGGCACUCAGCCGCGGUUUUGGCGCGGCACAGCAUCCUUAGAGAAACGCUGCUGCUGAGAAAUCAAGGAAAAGUCCUUUCCCGAGACUCCCAACCAGUGUCAGAGGCACAAGGAUGAACAACUCCUUGAUCUGCUGUGGAAAUCUCAGAGAAUGUUGGAAAAUCCAACACCGAAGGUGUCUGCUUUAUUUGCACUUCAAAGCAUAGAAGAGCAAGUGACGAAUAAUUUGUCCUGCUCUGGCAUUAGGUAGCAGCUCCUGAAAACACCCUCCUGGCUUGGCUAAACCUUAGGGUGACUGCGACAUUGAAUAACUGAAAGGCUGUACACGAUGGAAGAGUAUGAGGGAAGAUCUGAAGUUUGCUGAUAUAUCACAACUUCCACAGCAAGCAAUUUAGAGCAGCCUGCUCCAGGAACAGAGCUCCUUGAGGGAUGGACGGCUGCAGAAAAGCACAGGGCUUUGAUUCAAGUCACUCACUGUACAUAAAUUAAUUUUAUAAACCCAUCCACAAACUCUGAUUAAUCCACGAUAACCAGAUAUUAUUCCUUUUUCUAAUUUUUAAAUUAAAUUAUUGAGCUGAUACCAUGUAUCAGCUCCAGCUUCUUCAAA